UACAGAGGUCUCGAGCGUUGUUCGGAUUCAUUGGGCGUAAGGGUGCGUAGGUGGCGCCGUAAGUCGGGUGUGAAAUUUCGGAGCUUAACUCCGAAACUGCAUUCGAUACUGCGGUGCUUGAGGACUGGAGAGGAGACUGGAAUUCAUGGUGUAGCAGUGAAAUGCGUAGAGAUCAUGAGGAAGACCAGUGGCGAAGGCGGGUCUCUGGGCCCUACCUGACGCUGAGACGCGAAAGCGUGGGGAGCGAACAGG
rnacentral:rRNA from 1 species